rnacentral:rRNA from 1 species
GUAGGUGGCAAGCGUUGUCCGGAAUUAUUGGGCGUAAAGCGCGCGCAGGCGGUUCUUUAAGUCUGAUGUGAAAGCCCACGGCUCAACCGUGGAGGGUCAUUGGAAACUGGAGAACUUGAGUACAGAAGAGGAAAGCGGAAUUCCACGUGCAGCGGUGAAAUGCGUAGAGAUGUGGAGGAACACCAGUGGCGAAGGCGGCUUUCUGGUCUGUAACUGACGCUGAGGCGCGAAAGCGUGGGGGAGCAAACAGGAUUAGAUACCCUGGUAGUCCACGCCGUAAACGAUGAGUGCUAAGUGUUAGGGGGUUUUCCGCCCCUUAGUGCUGCAGCUAACGCAUUAAGCACUCCGCCUGGGAGUACGGCCGCAAGGCUG